rnacentral:rRNA from 1 species
GAGCACGUAGGUGGGUUUGUAAGUCAGGUGUGAAAGCCUUCUGUUCAACGGAAGAAUUGCAUCUGAAACUGCGAGUCUUGAGUGUAGGAGGGGAGAAUGGAACUUCUGGUGGAGCGGUGAAAUACGUAGAUAUCAGAAGGAACGCCGGCGGCGAAAGCGAUUCUCUGGCCUAUUACUGACACUCAGUGUGCGAAAGCUAGGGGAGCAAACGGGAUUAGAUACCCCGGUAGUCCUAGCCGUAAACGAUGGGCACUAAGUAGAGGGAAUUACCGAUGUUCUCUCUGCCGUAGCUAACGCAUUAAGUGCCCCGCCUGGGGAGUACGGCCGCAAGGCUAAAACUCAAAAGAAUUGACGGGGGCUCGCACAAGCGGUGGAGCAUGUGGCUUAAUUCGAUGCAACGCGAAAAACCUUACUGGGGCCUGACAUGGUAGAAGUAGGAACCCGAAAGGGUAACGAACGGUAUCCAGUCCGUAGCUAUCACAGGUGUUGCAUGGCUGACGUCAGCUCGUGUCGUGAGACGUUGGGUUAAGUCCCCUAACGAGCGAAACCCUUGUUUUUAGUUACCAGCGGGUUAUGCCGGGUACUCUAGAAAGACUGCCGUCGUCAAGACGGAGGAAGGUGGAGAUGACGUCAAGUCAUCAUGGCCCUUAUGCCCCGGGCUGCACACGUGCUACAAUGGUCGGUACAAACGGAUGCGAAGCCGAGAGGUGAAGCGAAUCC